AACGAACGCUGGCGGCAUGCCUAACACAUGCAAGUCGAACGAAGCCUUCGGGCUUAGUGGCGCACGGGUGCGUAACGCGUGGGAAUCUGCCCUUGGGUUCGGAAUAACAGUUAGAAAUGACUGCUAAUACCGGAUGAUGUCUUCGGACCAAAGAUUUAUCGCCCAAGGAUGAGCCCGCGUAGGAUUAGGUAGUUGGUGGGGUAAUGGCCCACCAAGCCGACGAUCCUUAGCUGGUCCGAGAGGAUGAUCAGCCACACUGGGACUGAGACACGGGCCAGACUCCUACGGGAGGAAGCAGUGGGGAAUAUUGGACAAUGGGCGAAAGCCUGAUCCAGCAAUGCCGCGUGAGUGAUGAAGGCCUUAGGGUUGUAAAGCUCUUUACCAGGGAUGAUAAUGACAGUACCUGGAGAAUAAGCUCCGGCUAACUCCGUGCCAGCAGCCGCGGUAAGAC
rnacentral:rRNA from 1 species